rnacentral:rRNA from 1 species
UUGGAGAGUUUGAUCCUGGCUCAGGAUGAACGCUGGCGGCGUGCUUAACACAUGCAAGUCGAGCGGUAAGGCCCCUUCGGGGGUACACGAGCGGCGAACGGGUGAGUAACACGUGAGCAACCUACCCUCAACUUCGGGAUAAGCCUCGGAAACGGGGUCUAAUACCGGAUAUCACCUCAUUCUUCAUGGUUUGGGGUUGAAAGUUCUGGCGGUUGGGGAUGGGCUCGCGGCCUAUCAGCUUGUUGGUGGGGUGAAGGCCUACCAAGGCGGCGACGGGUAGCCGGCCUGAGAGGGUGACCGGCCACAUUGGGACUGAGAUACGGCCCAGACUCCUACGGGAGGCAGCAGUGGGAAUAUUGCACAAUGGGCGGAAGCCUGAUGCAGCAACGCCGCGUGCGGGAUGACGGCCUUCGGGUUGUAAACCGCUUUCAGCAGGGACGAAGCUUUUUGUGACGGUACCUGUAUAAGAAGC